UACGUAGGUGGCAAGCGUUGUCCGGAUUUACUGGGCGUAAAGGGCGCGCAGGUGGCGGUGUUGGCCCGGCGUGAAAGCCCCCGGCUCAACCGGGGAGGGUCGUCGGGGACCGCACCGCUUGAGGGCGGUAGGGGCCGGUGGAAUGCCUGGUGUAGUGGUGAAAUGCGUAGAGAUCAGGCGGAACACCCGUAGCGAAGGCGGCCAGCUGGGCCGUCCCUGACACUGAGGCGCGAAGGCGUGGGGAGCGAACGGG
rnacentral:rRNA from 1 species